ensembl:lncRNA
GCCUGCACUGGGUGCCACAGCUUGUUUCCUCUUUGCAGACGAAAAGCAAAGGGUGGCGAUCGUCCCGGAGUCUCAGGUGACCUGCACCCCUCUACCUGCAGCUUGUGGCUGGUGGGACACACCCUGGAGCAAAAGCCCUGGUAUGCAGAGAAGGCUGGUGUUCCUCCCUGGAUGGUGGACAAAAUGAUGCCAGUUUAGGGCAGUAACCCAUCAAAUCAGAUUACAUAAUGCACCAGAUCAGCUCCCAAAGAAGUAAUUAACUUGGAUUAAUUUUUCAUAUUAAGAAGUGGAUGGUCCCAAAGUACAAAGCUUCAAGGACAAUGGUACUGGGAAUAUGCAAAGGGAAAGAAAGCCUUUGAUAAUGGUCUGAAUGCAUGGUUCUGCCCA